rnacentral:lncRNA from 1 species
AUGUAAGUAACAUUUAGCAUACUUUUAUUAGACUACUAUAGCAAAUUGGAUUAAAAUGUUUUUUGAGUUGAUCGUAAUCGUGAUGAGUCCAAACUUAUUGUAGGAAAUGACCAAGUUGGACAACGAACGACUAGCCUUGUAAGCAGUAUAUGAAUGAAUGAAUGCCAGAACGAGUAUUUCCAUUGAGUUAAGUAAACAAGGGUCCAACGUUUCCACAGUGCGGCCUGAUUUUUCUUUUUUCCCUUGGAUUUGACUGUAGAGAAGCUGUGAGAGCCGGAUUGUGUGCACCAAAUGGAAAGGAUUCCAUUUUGUUUUUGCUUAUUCCUCGUCCUACUUCCUCUGGAUAGACGCACACUGCUCAUAACAUGGCUCCAGAGCACAAAACACUAACGGUUAGGAAGCUAUAAAACAACAGGAAAAGCUUCGCUCAGAAUAUAAACCGGGUUCUGAAGAGACAAUGUACAAGCAGAAAAAAAUGCAUAGAGCAACUUACUUGGUCCUCCUCCUCAGCUUUGUUCCCGGUAUUCUUUCUGUCAAGGAGCCACAGAAUUCCUCAUGCCGCUGCCUCGCAUUUGAUCACGAUUGCUGGCCAUCUUCUCGAGUCUGGAACAGCUUCAACACGUCAGUGGAGGGACGGUUGAUGAGAGUCUUACCUCCGGCUGCUCCUUGCCACGACCCCUUCUUUGACGAACAAGGCUGCAAAGAAGUCCAAGAAAGCUGGGAGCUGGAAUUCUGGAGAAC